UAUAUACUCCUUCCGUUCAAAAAAGCUUGUCUCUAAAAUGGAUGUAUCUAGCACCAAGUUAGUGCUAGAUAUAUCCAUUUGAAGGAUAAGUUUUUCCGGACGGAGGGAGUAGGUU
rnacentral:pre_miRNA from 1 species